GAAAUAUACAGCGACCUGCGAAUGGCUCAUUAUAUAAGUUAUCGUUUAUUUGAUAGUACCUUACUACUUGGAUAACCGUGGUAAUUCUAGAGCUAAUACAUGCUAAAAAUCCCGACUUCGGAAGGGAUGUAUUUAUUAGAUUAAAAACCAAUGCCCUCUGGGCUCCUUGGUGAUUCAUGAUAACUCUUCGAAUCGCACGGCCUUGCGCCGGCGAUGGUUCAUUCAAAUUUCUUCCCUAUCAACUUUCGAUGUUUGGGUAUUGGCCAAACAUGGUUGCAACGGGUAACGGAGGGUUAGGGCUCGACCCCGGAGAAGGAGCCUGAGAAACGGCUACUACAUCCAAGGAAGGCAGCAGGCGCGCAAAUUACCCAAUCCCGAUUCGGGGAGGUAGUGACAAUAAAUACUGAUACAGGGCUCUUUUGGGUCUUGUAAUUGGAAUGAGUACAAUUUAAAUCUCUUAACGAGGAACAAUUGGAGGGCAAGUCUGGUGCCAGCAGCCGCGGUAAUUCCAGCUCCAAUAGCGUAUAUUAAAGUUGUUGUGGUUAAAAAGCUCGUAGUUGAACCUUGAGCCUGGCUGGCCGGUCCGCCUCACCGCGUGCACUGGUCCGGCCGGGCCUUUCCCUCUGUGGAACCCCGUGCCCUUCACUGGGCGUGGCGGAGAAACACGACGUUUACUUUGAAAAAAUUACACUGCUCGAGGCAGGACUAUGCACGAAUACAUUAGCAUGGAAGAAUGAAGUAGGACGCGUGGAUCUAGUUUGUUGGUUUCAACGCAGCGCCGUAAUGAAUAAUAAGGUACAGUCCGUGAGCAUCAGUAUUCCAAUAGUCAGAAGUCGAAGUUCUUGUAGUUUACUGAAGACUGACUUACGCGCUAGACGAUUUUGCCAACGAUUGAUCUCCAUAGACGGGCAGGGCAAUUUACGGGGAUCGCACACGGCUCUAAUGCCUGUCGUAA
rnacentral:rRNA from 1 species